UUUAUCUUUAUUUUUGUGUUCAUUAACUCAGACCAUAGCCGAAGUUGUUGAAGCUUCAAUUGAAGAUUAUGAAGAAGGCAUGCAGGCUUGUAACGAAGCAGCAAAGCUGUGGAUGCAGAUUCCAGCACCAAAAAGAGGUGAUAUUGUUAGGCAGAUUGGUGAUACACUUAGAGCAAAACUUCACUACUUUGGCUGACUUGUUUCACUUGAAAUGGGGAAAAUACUACCCGAAGGAAUUGGGGAGGUUCAAGUCUACACUUGAUCAACUUCAUUGAAGAGGUUGUGGAUGCUGCAUUGAUCAAAGCCAUUGAAGCAGUGCCGGAUUUGAAGGCUUAUUUGGGUGCAGCGAGCAUACUUAUGUAGUAUCAAAUAAGUAUAUUUUCAUACUUAAGUAGUACGGAGUAUCAAUCAAGUAGUAUAUAUUUUUUAUG